CAAGGAAUUUUCCGCAAUGGGGGAAACCCUGACGGAGCAACGCCGCGUGCGGGAUGACGCAUUUCGGUGUGUAAACCGCUGUUCGGGGGGACGAAGCACUGACGGUACCCCGGAGGAAGGCCCGGCUAACUACGUGCCAGCAGCCGCGGUAAUACGUAGGGGCCAAGCGUUGUCCGGAGUUACUGGGCGUAAAGCGUGCGCAGGCGGCUCGUUGCGCCCGACGUGAAAGCCCCGGGCUCAACCGGGGAGGGUCGUCGGGGACGGGCGAGCUUGAGGGUAUCAGGGGCUGGUGGAACUCCCGGUGUAGUGGUGAAAUGCGUAGAGAUCGGGAAGAACACCCGUGGCGAAGGCGGCCAGCUGGGAUACACCUGACGCUGAGGCACGAAGGCGUGGGGAGCGAACGG
rnacentral:rRNA from 1 species